rnacentral:rRNA from 1 species
UACGUAGGGUGCAAGCGUUAAUCGGAAUUACUGGGCGUAAAGCGUGCGCAGGCGGUUCGUCGUGUCCGAUGUGAAAGCCCCGGGCUCAACCUGGGAAUGGCAUUGGAAACUGGCGGGCUUGAGUGUGGCAGAGGGGGGUGGAAUUCCGCGUGUAGCAGUGAAAUGCGUAGAGAUGCGGAGGAACACCGAUGGCGAAGGCGGCAUCCUGGACCGGCAUUGACGCUGAGGCGCGAAAGCUAGGGGAGCAAACGGG